GUUGACACACUGAUGAGUUUGUUGUUGAUAGAGGCUUAGAAAACACAUUUUGACAUCGGGAGGUAGAUUAAGAGGCACUGUACCCAGAUGGGGUCUGGCCUCGCCACAAACAUAACUGUUAGUUCUAUUGUGAGAAUUAGCAUUAUACCUCAUCCACUCAAGCCAUAGGUUGGUGUCUGAAAAAGUCUCCACAGCAAUAGUGUCUUUGAAUGUAGGAUUGGCAAUAGCCACCAUGUCUUUAAGGGUCUUAAUGUGUGGUUUGAGAGGGUUAAUGGUCAUGUGUGUAGA